GAUGAAUGCUGGCGGCGUGCUUAACACAUGCAAGUCGAACGAUGAAGCCGGAGCUUGCUCUGGUGAAUUAGUGGCGAACGGGUGAGUAACACGUGAGUAACCUGCCCUUGACUCUGGGAUAACUGCUAGAAAUGGUAGCUAAUACCGGAUACGACCCUCGGAGGCAUCUCCAGGGGGUGGAAAGAAUUUCGGUCAAGGAUGGACUCGCGGCCUAUCAGCUAGUUGGUGAGGUAACGGCUCACCAAGGCGACGACGGGUAGCCGGCCUGAGAGGGUGACCGGCCACACUGGGACUGAGACACGGCCCAGACUCCUACGGGAGGCAGCAGUGGGGAAUAUUGCACAAUGGGCGCAAGCCUGAUGCAGCAACGCCGCGUGAGGGAUGACGGCCUUCGGGUUGUAAACCUCUUUUAGUAGGGAAGAAGCGAAAGUGACGGUACCUGCAGAAAAAGCACCGGCUAACUACGUGCCAGCCGCCGCAGUAA
rnacentral:rRNA from 1 species